AACGCACCUUGCGCCCUUUGGCUAUUCUGAAGGGCAUGCCUGUUUGAGUAUCAUGAACACCUCAACUCUCAUGGUUUUCUGUGAUGAGCUUGGACCGUGGGGGUUUGUUGGCCUUUGGUCAACUCCUCUCAAAUGAAUCAGCUUGCCAGAGUUUGGUGGCAUCACAGGUGUGAUAACUAUCUACGCUUGUCGUUGUUGACCAGGUACCCUCCGGUUUCGGGGGUCCUCUGGAGCUUAUAAAUGUCUCUCCUCAGUGAAGACAACCAUUUAAAGUUCGAUCUCAAAUCAGGUAGGACUACCCGCUGAACUUAA
rnacentral:misc_RNA from 1 species